GAGCACGCGAGGAAGGAGGAACUGUGCGCUGGCCAUCAACGCUGUCAUCGUCGCCGAUCCGCGAGUCCUCACCGCGCCAGCAACGCCUACACCGUCGACCCACAGUCCUGAUGUGGAGGAGUUGACCGACAUCCCGGACGACCAGAAGAUCCAGAAGGACUACCUUGACACCCGGAGGACCCAGAAGGAUGUAUCAGACGACCAGAAGUCGUCAGAGAACGAGGAAGGCUACGAAGACCUAUCAGCCUGAUAGAUGCAGGAUCCGAGAGAAGGAGUCGACAGGACAACAAACGUGGAAGGAGUUAAGGAUGGCCCGAGCUACACUCCGAGCUGCCUGUGGAGAAAGAUCGAGAAGAUUCGUGAAGAUGAAGUUUGCCCAGAAGACUAGAUAUCGUUUCCGCUUUCUGUUUGUUUUCUUUUAGCCCAAGGGGCUUGUACUCUGAGACUCGUAUUACAAUCCUUUGGAUUAUGUAAUAAAUAAACCCAUGUGAUGUUGUAAA